GACGAACGCUGGCGGCGUGCUUAACACAUGCAAGUCGAGCGGUAAGGCCCUUUCGGGGGUACACGAGCGGCGAACGGGUGAGUAACACGUGGGUGACCUGCCCUCAGCUCUGGGAUAAGCCUGGGAAACCGGGUCUAAUACUGGAUAUGACUCCAUGACGCAUGUUGUGGGGUGGAAAGCCUUGUGCGGCUGAGGAUGGGCCCGCGGCCUAUCAGCUUGUUGGUGGGGNGAUGGCCUACCAAGGCGACGACGGGUAGCCGGCCUGAGAGGGCGACCGGCCACACUGGGACUGAGACACGGCCCAGACUCCUACGGGAGGCAGCAGCGGGGAAUCUUGCGCAAUGGGCGAAAGCCUGACGCAGCGACGCCGCGUGAGGAUGACGGCC
rnacentral:rRNA from 1 species